AUUAUUUUCUUUGAUGUAUUUGUCAUUCACUGUAUUAUUUCUCAGCACAUUUAGCUCUGAAGAUCAUCUGUUAGAAGUUCAUUGUAAGUAUUCAUUAUUCCAAAUUUGUGCUGCUCAUCUUGUAGAAGUGUCACGUAGCAUAUUUUUAAUUGUUUGAUUGAUGAUUAGUUGAGCUUCAUUCUUAGAUUUCCAGUGUGAAACAUGAAAUGGAAACUUACUUUCCAAGCUCACUAUUACCUAUUAUUUAUAAGCUGCUGUGUUGAUAAAUAAACUAAAUUUUUAUAAGAUCGAUGAAGAUCUUGGAAAAAGGCACACAGGCACUUUAUGUUUUAAGUAUCUGACAUUCUUAUUAUACUUAUUUUAGGAACUGGUAUUUGCAAAACUCAUUAUAAUUUUUUCUGCUCUAGCUUCAUCUUGAAGUUGCAAUUGAAAUGCAAACAGCUCUAGGGAAAAUCAGUCAUCUGUCAUAGAUGCCCCACAACUGUUGAGACAACCAUAGUGACUAGAAGAAUGGCAUGUUCUUCAUAUAACUAGAAUACUGCUACAGCACUUUUACCAUUUUCUUGAUAUAAUUUAUCACUUAUGCUACAUAUCUAUGAAGACAUUUUAUUUACAAUAUGACAAACUGUGUGCUCAUCAAGUUUAUUUAUAGAGAUGUUUUUCCCAAUUCUAAUGUUAAUUUCUUGGCAUCACUUGGAAAAUUGUCAGUAAUAGGAAAUGAAAUGUGCUGCCAAUUUAACUUAGUGUUGUGUCUCUCAUACUGCCCAACACAGGAGCUUUCUGAAGGCAAAAGGAGCUUGUAUCAGCAAAGGGUGGGAUCAAUGCCUAGCUCAGAGGAAUGCUAUCAGGAACAAUGGAAAUGUGGUACCCAGUUCCUUUUGGAAGAACAAACUUUGAAAGAUGCAUCUCAUCCAUACCAAGAAUGAUCUGCUGGGGAAAAGAUAAUUCCUGCAAGAUGCAUGACUCCAAAGAUAAGAUACAACCUACAAGAAAAAAACUAACACAGCAGACUGACAUCUUCAGUACUUUCUCCCUCACUGAGACUGCUCCUGAACCUGAACUAGCUCCUCUCCUUCUUCAUCCACUUGACUGUCUACUCUGGUGCUCUGUGCACCUCUGUAAUUUAUUGCACCAAAGGCAAUAAGUCAAUCUAAUUUCAUGGAAAGUAUGGAGGUGAUGUGGUCAGUAGUGCUAAUAGCUCAUUUUUCACUUUUUCAUGCUUGUGCACUUGAGAGAUACCACAGUGAACAUGGCUUUAUGUCGCAAAGUAGCCAAGUCAAAUCUGCUGAUUUCUCCUGACUAAUGAAAAAAUAUUUUUAUGUAUAUUGUUCCAUAGAUGAUUCAAUCUGCUCAAAAAAAUAAAGCUCUUUCCACCUACACUGAAC